AAAAGUUUCUAAGGUAAUAAAAGUUUACAACUUGGUCACAAUUUCUUGAUAUAAUUUUACUAUUUUUGUAUGAAAAUGUAUUAAUACUAGGAUGGGUUUUCAAAAGACGCAUAUUUUACAGUAGUUGACUUUUUGUUAUUAGAAGAAGCAGAAUAAAGUGUCCGAAGUUAGUCGCAACAGAAAAAUAAAAUCAAAUAAAAGAAGAAGUUCAUGAAUAUGGAGACAUUUAUUUCUUCAGUAUCCCACUAUCAUUUUCUUUCUGCCUGCCACUACAUUACGAGUAUAGGGAUCAUUUUAAAUAACAAUAACUUAAUUCCAAAGUCAGUUAAGAACGAAACGGUCCCCGUUUUAAAUGCCUUUUUCCAAUAUCUAAAUAAAUCUGAAAAUGAUUUCGCUCCUAAAAUUAAUCUUCUUGAGCAAAUAAACAGAAGAACUAAUAUUUACCAGUAUAUAAGUAAGAUGACUUCAUUAACUGAUGAUCACGAAAACAUUGGAAGUUAUGUGAAAAACAUUUUGAAGAAAAACAACAAAAAAUCGUUUUCAACUUUGAAGGGAAUUUUGUUUAAACAUUUCUUUAAGUAUCAUAUUAUUAAGAAUGUUUGCUCAUUUAGAAAGGAACCUACAAAACUCAGUUCACUAGCAAUUCAACGAAUCUUUAAGGGCUAUGUUUCGCCUAUUUUUACUGGAAUAUGGAAAGCACAGAUGAAAAAAUAAAUGGAUGUACAGAUGAAGAAAUUAUUUUACAUAGACAUAUUUUAAAACAAAGGAUGAGAAAGAAAAGAGGAUACGUCCUCGUCUUUUGAAAGAUUUCUUCAUUGUAGAACAUCCUUAUAGUCAGCACUGUGCGGUUUAAGAUUAAUAAAAAUAAUUAAGUAUACUUCAUAUGGAUUAUUAUAAUUUUUUGUUGCCCAUGUAUUGUCCUAAAGGACGCGCGAUUUUGCGUAAUAAAUAAAUAAACUAGAGAUGCUAAAAAAUUA